AUUACUUACAUGGUAACAUUAACAAAUGCACUGGCAAUUAUGAACUUAACAAGGGAUUAAAAGGACCACGCGAAUAGAAAGUUCGAUCGACUAGAUUAUCAAUUGAAUAUAAUAUUGUAUUAAAUAACAAUGUCAAUUAUAUAAAAAAAAAAAAAAACUUUUCGAAACAUUUUUACGUACCCGUAAAUCGUCUGACUAGAGUCUGAUUUUAGAUUCCGGGCGGAACGAGGAACGUAU